AUUGAACGCUGGCGGCAGGCCUAACACAUGCAAGUCGGGCGCGCGGCGGACGGGUGAGUAAUGUAUGGGGAACUGCCUGAUGGAGGGGGAUAACUACUGGAAACGGUAGCUAAUACCGCAUACCAUCAGAUGAACCCAUAUGGGCUUAGCUGGUAGGUAAGGUAAAGGCUUACCUAGGCGAAGAUCCCUAGCUGGUCUGAGAGGAUGACCAGCCACACUGGGACUGAGACACGGCCCAGACUCCUACGGGAGGCAGCAGUGGGGAAUAGUGCACAAGGGGCGCAAGCCUGAUGCAGCCAUGCCGCGUGUAUGAAGAAGGCCUUCGGGUUGUAAAGUACUUUUAGUCGGGAGGCGGUACCGACAGAAGAAGCACCGGCUAACUCCGUGCCAGCAGCCGCGGUAAUUC
rnacentral:rRNA from 1 species